rnacentral:rRNA from 1 species
ACGAACGCUGGCGGCACGCUUAACACAUGCAAGUCGAACGAGAGAAGAGAAGCUUGCUUUUCUGAUCUAGUGGCGGACGGGUGAGUAACACGUGAGCAAUCUGCCUUUCAGAGGGGGAUACCGAUUGGAAACGAUCGUUAAUACCGCAUAAUAUAAUUGAACCGCAUGAUUUGAUUAUCAAAGAUUUAUCGCUGAAAGAUGAGCUCGCGUCUGAUUAGCUAGUUGGUAAGGUAACGGCUUACCAAGGCGACGAUCAGUAGCCGGACUGAGAGGUUGAUCGGCCACAUUGGGACUGAGACACGGCCCAGACUCCUACGGGAGGCAGCAGUGGGGAAUAUUGCACAAUGGAGGAAACUCUGAUGCAGCGAUGCCGCGUGAGGGAAGAAGGUUUUAGGAUUGUAAACCUCUGUCUUCAGGGACGAAAAAUGACGGUACCUGAGGAGGAAGCUCCGGCUAACUACGUGCCAGCAGCCGCGGUAAUACGUAGGGAGCGAGCGUUGUCCGGAAUUACUGGGUGUAAAGGGAGCGUAGGCGGGAUCGCAAGUCAGAUGUGAAAACUAUGGGCUUAACCCAUAAACUGCAUUUGAAACUGUGGUUCUUGAGUGAAGUAGAGGUAAGCGGAAUUCCUAGUGUAGCGGUGAAAUGCGUAGAUAUUAGGAGGAACAUCAGUGGCGAAGGCGGCUUACUGGGCUUUAACUGACGCUGAGGCUCGAAAGCGUGGGGAGCAAACAGGAUUAGAUACCCUGGUAGUCCACGCCGUAAACGAUGAUUACUAGGUGUGGGGGGACUGACCCCUUCCGUGCCGCAGCAAACGCAAUAAGUAAUCCACCUGGGGAGUACGACCGCAAGGUUGAAACUCAAAGGAAUUGACGGGGGCCCGCACAAGCAGUGGAGUAUGUGGAUUAAUUCGAAGCAACGCGAAGAACCUUACCAGGUCUUGACAUCCGAUGCAUAGCACAGAGAUGUGUGAAAUCCUUCGGGACAUCGAGACAGGUGGUGCAUGGUUGUCGUCAGCUCGUGUCGUGAGAUGUUGGGUUAAGUCCCGCAACGAGCGCAACCCUUACUGUUAGUUGCUACGCAAGAGCACUCUAGCAGGACUGCCGUUGACAAAACGGAGGAAGGUGGGGAUGACGUCAAAUCAUCAUGCCCCUUAUGACCUGGGCCUCACACGUACUACAAUGGCUGUCAACAGAGGGAAGCAAAGCCGCGAGGUGGAGCAAACCCCUAAAAGCAGUCUUAGUUCGGAUUGUAGGCUGCAACCCGCCUACAUGAAGUCGGAAUUGCUAGUAAUCGCAGAUCAGCAUGCUGCGGUGAAUACGUUCCCGGGCCUUGUACACACCGCCCGUCACGCCAUGGGAGUCGGUAACACCCGAAGCCUGUAGUCUAACCGCAAGGAGGACGCAGUCGAAGGUGGGAUUGAUGACUGGGGUG